CCUACGGGAGGCAGCAGUGGGGAAUAUUGCGCAAUGGGCGAAAGCCUGACGCAGCGACGCCGCGUGAGGGAUGAAGGUCUUCGGAUCGUAAACCUCUGUCAGCAGGGAAGAACGGUCACUGUGCUAAUCAGCAGCGAAUUGACGGUACCUGCUAAGGAAGCACCGGCUAACUAAGUGCCAGCAGCCGCGGUAAUACGGAGGGUGCGAGCGUUAAUCGGAAUUAUUGGGCGUAAAGCGGUCGUAGGCGGUUUGUUAAAUCCAGGGGUAAAUCCCCGGGGUGAAACGGCGAACCGCCUUUGAAACUAGCAAACUAGAGUUAGUGAGAGGAUAGCGGAAUUCCAGGUGAAGGAGUGAAAUCCGUAGAUAUAUGGAGGAACAUCAGAGGCGAAGGCGACUAUCUGGGACAUAACUGACGCUGAGGGGCGAAAGCGUGGGGAGCAAACAGGAUUAGAUACCCGGGUAGUC
rnacentral:rRNA from 1 species